GGCCUACCAUGGUGGUAACGGGUAACGGGGUGUUAGGGCACGACACCGGAGAGGGAGCCUGAGAAACGGCUACCACAUCCAAGGAUGGCAGCAGGCGCGCAAAUUACCCAAUCCCGACACGGGGAGGUAGUGACAAUAAAUAACAAUACGGGGUUCUUUAGGAUCUCGUAAUUGGAAUGAGUACAAUUUAAAUCUCUUAACGAGGAACAAUUGGAGGCAAGUCUGGUGCCAGCAGCCGCGGUAAUUCCAGCUCCAAUAGCGUAUAUUAAAGUUGUUGCAGUUAAAAAGCUCGUAGUUGAAUUUCGGGGUUAGUAGGUUGGUCAUGCCUCUGGUAUGUACUGGUCUCACUGAUUCAUCCUUCCUGAUGAGCCGUAAUGCCAUUAAUUUGGUGUUGCGGGGAAUUUGGACCGUUACUUUGAAAAAAUUAGAGUGUUUAAAGCAAGCUAACGCUUGAAUACAUUAGCAUGGAAUAAUGAAAUAGGACGUUCGAUCCUAUUUUGUUGGUUUCUAGGAUUGACGUAAUGAUUAAUAGGGAUAGUUGGGGGCAUUAGUAUUCAAUUGUCAGAGGUGAAAUUCUUGGAUUUAUUGAAGACUAACUACUGCGAAAGCAUUUGCCAAGGAUGUUUUCAUUAAUCAAGAACGAAAGUUAGGGGAUCGAAGACGAUCAGAUACCGUCGUAGUCUUAACCAUAAACUAUGCCGACUAGGGAUCGGAUGAUGUUAAUUUUUUAAUGACUCAUUCGGCGCCUUACG
rnacentral:rRNA from 1 species